CUGCCUGCGCCGAUGGUACUGCUAUUGCGGGAGAGUAGGUCGUCGCCAGUU
rnacentral:rRNA from 1 species